UGAAAAGGACUUUUUGUUCUUUCACAUGUCCAUCAUAUUUACAGCGACCUUGCAUUUGAAGGAAUCAAAUACAUUUCAGAGUAAAGAGUAUUUCUGUCAUGGCAAGAAGCAAUUAUCUAAUUCUGGCCUGGAGAAUUUCAUGGACCGAGGAGCCUGGUGGGCUACAGUCCACGGGGUUGCAAAGAGCCGAACGACUGAGCCACUCAGCACAAUUAUCCCAUACAUAGUCAGGAUGCACAGCCCUGGAGGAGGUUCCAUGAAGUCGCUGCCUUGCUCCCAGAGUUUCCUGUAACGUCACCUUUUCCCCUGUGAUGUGUUCCGGAGGAUCAGAACGUUUACAGACUAAAGGACCAGGAGACGCGAGCAUGGAGUAGUUGGAUGUUGGGGGCAGGGCAAGAAGAACCGGAAGAUCCACCGGAAGACUUCAACAAGCCCCGCCCACUCGCCAGAAGCGAUGGCCUCCUCUAAAUUGUCUACUUGCGUCCGUAAGGCUUCUGUCGUCUCAUGUCUUACUGCCAAGUAAAAAUGAAAUUUCUUCUCAUGUUCCCCAAGCCAUCAAGCUCUUACGUGGCCCUGUGAACUUCCAAGCAUUUGUAUUUCUUAUGGCCUCUAUGUGAUUAAAUAUGUGGCCUACCAAAUAUUGUAGAAGAGGGCAAAAAGAAAGAUACCCUAUGAAGAAAAAUACCCAUGUCUCUAAAGUAUAAUAUCACACAAUUGGUUUGGGCCAGUAAGAUCUGGAUACAAUACUUUUUUCUCUUUUCAGUUUUAAUCUGUAGUCAUUAAUGACAUGAAAAUGUACAAAGUCACCUCCAAACAAUGAGCAUCUUAGAUAAAGGAAGUUGAAAACAUUUCCGAUUCUCAGCUCAUCAUCUCACUAUUCAUGUUAUUUCUGGGUUAAUUUCUUGACUCCAAAGAAUAGAGUGAAUGAAACUAAUUCAGUUGUUUUCAUCUUUUGUGCCUCUGAGGCUGGCUUAUGCUCUUGAACACAUUUUGUGCUCAGAAAAAAAUCUCUAGGGUUGCAAAUGUUCUGAACAUGCUGAAGUGAUGCAUCCUUCUUUUUUUUUUUUUUUUUCAAUUUAACUGUAAGGAACUGAUACAGACCAAUUUUAUGAAUUUUUAACAAUGUCAUUUAGAACAAAAUAUAAAUGUGAUAGAGAUAAAAAGAUUUUGCAUAAUCAAUGUGCUAUACUCAGUAACUCCAAGAGAAUGGAAAAUCGGUUGUAAAAAAAGGCAAGAUGAAUUCUAUAAAAAUAACAAACAAAGCCUGUAACAAUCUAAGCACUGAGGAAUUAGUGAGGGUAAUUAAAUAUUAUGAACAUUUUCAAAGGAAACAAACGAAUGAAACAAAUCAGGAGCUAAAAAAAAAAACUAGACACCCAUUUAAAGGGAAACUGUGCAACUCAAUAAUUAGAUGAGUGUCUUUGGGAAACAUUUUUCUUUGGCUUCUUAUUCAUUCUAACAAAAAUUUGAAACAACAGUAAAAACACAAAUGACAGGUGCUCCAAAGGAGUCCGACUAUACCAUUGUAGCUAUAAAAUUCUCCAAUCACCUGCAAAAACAUUAAGGAAAAAUUAAACAAAAAAGAGACACCAAGAGGCUAGUGAUCACCGUGUUGCUUCUGUCGGGAGCAACCAUGGAUGGACAGAGACAGGACGUGUGGAGGGGAGCUCUCUCAGGAGUUAGCUGUGACCACAGUUCCUCUCAGGAUUCACACUUAAAAAAAUAAAUCCAAGACAAGAAGCUUUGCCCCAACACCUUUUGUCUCUUUUAUUAAGUGUAUAGAGCAACAUCUUCAAAGACUCUUUAGGAGACAAACCCACUCCAACGAAGUACGUAUCACUGACCAUACG